GAAAGCGGGGUUAAGGCCUCCUCCAGGUACUCCUGAGGACCACUGGCCGGGGCAUGCUCAUUCUGCAGAGGCGCCUGACGUGGGGCUGCAGCGCACACUGCCAGUCCUUCUCAGGACAGUGGGGUGCGGCCUAUCCUAGACACGGGGCUGUUUGUGGUCUAGAAGCAGCGGGCAGAGGGGCCCAGGCUGCCGCUGAGCGUCCCCCGCCUGCAACAACAAAGCGUCCUCUGGUGUACCACGUCAGGAGUGCCCGGGGGAGGAGACCUGGGGUGGCCCAGCUUCCCGCCUUGGUGGAGCUUAGACGGCUUUAGAAAUCCCUAAUCCCAGGGCUACAUGCUCCCUGCCACAGCAGUGACGGCAUCUCAGUUUUCCAGUCCAGGAUCAAAUUUGAGGAGUGCUACCCCGUGGGCUCCCUUUUCAACCAGUGUAGCUUAGGGCCCCGCUGCUCUGGGGUGGGUGUCAACGGCGGCUUCGACCCUGGUCUUAAACCACUGUGCUGUUUCCCGUGAACUAACUUUACGUGAGUUUGUGCACAGAUGACUGGCCCACUGAUCGGAAACCCUCGUGGGUUUUCAGAAGAGUUUCUCCCUCAGCGGGGGGGCAGCAGCUGCCCUGUCUGGUUUGGUGCCCAAGGACCACCCCUCGCCCAGGUGGUGAUUCGGCAGUGACACUGCUUUCAGAACCUACCCCAGGAUGCGAGGCCCAGGAUUUGUACUUGAAGGUGGCCACGGGGAGAGCCUGGCUCCUUCACUUCUUGGCUAAAGGAAGACCACUGCCCUGGGUCUUCACACCACGGAGCCAGUCUCAUUGCCCUGAAGUAGUACACGUGGGACUUGAAAUGCAGCUUGAACACGUAGUCCUUGUGGAGGUCUUCAGACUCUGAGGGAAUGGUGAGCGAGUACCCAAGCAGAGGCAGGCUGGCGAGGGGGUGACUGUCCUGGAAGGGGGCACAGAAGGUGGGAGCAGUCACAGGUGUGGCACCUGCCCGCAGCAGCUGGUCUGGACUGAGGUCCAGGCCCGGAUGCGUCGGCCACUGGUGACAUCACCCGCGCCCCCCUCCCCUCAUCCAACCAGCAGACGCGCAGCCCUUGGGCAAGUGGAUAACAGCAGCCUUCGCUUAGAGCUGUGGGGUCUCUGAGGGCCGUGGCCUUGCCCAGCCUGCUGUGGGCCCCCCUCCGACACCUGGGUGGCUCAGGGGUCAAGCUGUUCACCCUUCCAGAGGAAAGCUGCCUGCUCCCCGAGGAGGGAGGGUCCUUCAGGCCCCUCCCCAGCCGCCCCCCCCGGGCACAUACCUGGUGCGACUUGUAGAAGAAGAGGCAGAAGUUGGUGAAGACUACCCACAGCUUCUGCCACCCGUUGCUGUUUUUGAAUUUCCUCAGCAGGUUCCCAGACAGCUGAUUCUACAAGACAAGUCAGCCUGUAAGGAGCCCGGUGGAAAGGCCAACUCAGUGUCACAGCCCGGUGGGGCCCGCCGGCAGGGCCGUGCUUCUGUGAGCAGGCUUCCUGGGGGUGACUUAAGAAAACGGCCUUUCGCUCUGGGAGGGGGACUGCGUGAGCCUGGGUUAAUUUUCCUGUCACCUGGUAUGGGCUGAAUUCUGUCCCCCAAAUGUAUCUUGAAAUCCUAACCCCCUCCCCCCCUGUAUCGCAGAAUGUGACCUUAUUUGGAAAUAGGGUCAUCGGAGGUAGAAUUAAGGAGAUCGUCCUGGAGUAGAGGCCCGUAUCCACUACGGCUGACAGACAGACACGGGGCAGCCCCUGUGACCACAGGCAGGCGCGAGUGAUGCGUCUACAAGCCCAAGAACACCAGGGCUGGUCAGCAACCCACAGCAGCCGGCAGAGGCACAGCGGCCGCCUCCCGCACGGGUUUAGAGGGACGUUGAUUUCUGGACCUGUGACCUCCGGGAUGGUGAGACAGAGCUGCCCAGCGGGUGGUGCUUGUUAGGGCAUCCGUGGGAAAGGAUCCCUCACCCUCAACUCUAAGCCGGCAGGAGCCCAGCGCCAGCCAGCAGCUCCUGACUGCCACCUGGUGGCCCUGGCUGCAACGCUGCAUUUCAGCGCGGAGCCUCCAGGCCCCAUCCUGCGCUGGUGGGAACAGGCGUUCCGGGCGUCCUGGUUUAACUCUGGAGCUCCAUGGUCUCCUGAGGCCCGCAGGAGCUGCCAGCACAGAGCAUCACCGUGAAAUCACAGGCAGGCAAGGGGGGCCGCCAAGAUCAGAGCCUGUGCAUCCUUGCCUUCUCUCCAAAGCCCCUGUGUCACCUCUCAGAGGACCCUAAGAAGCCUCAUCUGUGUCCCUGACAAGACAGCAGCUCAUUGCCAGGAAGCCUUGACGAAGAGAGAAAUGGAUAUAUGGUGAAUAUAAUCACUGCCACUAAAUCGUUCACUUCAAAGGGGUGAAACGGGCAAACGCACCACAAUAAAAUAUACAUAUACGCACACCUGCGUCUACCUCGUUCCAUCUCUCUGGGGCUUUUCCAGUAACCUGUGUUUAAUCCAAGAGACAUUCUUAAGUAAGGCGCCUGUGAGAAGAGUUUAAAGGGCUCUGGCUGCGAGUCGCUUGCAGUCUGAUGGGGGAGACGGCGUGUUAGGCCGAGAGAACACAGGAAGCAGAGCUGUCCCUGUGGCCAUCACUCCUGGCUGCCACUUACCCACUGGCGAAAGGCACAAGAAAAGGCGAACUGUGGGUUCCAGCAGGUGAUGGUGGCAACCAACCAGAGUGGGGAUUUGAUGCUUGUGCAAUAGCACUAUGAUUACAUACAAGUCUCACUCUGGAGGAAGGAGAGUAGCGCAUUUUCCUUUCCUUAUUUUUAUACUGAAAUCAAAUUCCUCCAGACAGAGCCCCCAAAAAACCUUUCUCUUAGAUGCGUUUACCUUUGGAACGACAGCCAGUCCAGCCCACAGUGUGGUUUACACACUUCACUGAUGAACCAGGUUCCAGGCCAGUGUUCUUCCCAAGGCAGGGUCAUGAGAACACUCUUACCUUCUGCCAGCAGCCUUGAAUCCUCCUGGAACAUGCCAGGGUAUUCGUUCUGAGUAAGUCCUUCUAGCUUUGCCAGCUUAGCAGAUGAGAUGCUUCUUAGUAAUUGUAUCUACGGGUCUCCCCUUGCUCCCCGUUGCCCCCAUGCCCUCCAAAGUUGCCAACCCCACCAAAACCCUCGCUCCCUUGGCUUCGCUCCCAUACACACGUCAAGUCUCCUACUCAGGUCACGUGGCCCCUAAGCUGCUCUCAAGAGCCUGAGCCUUUUGUCUACGCAAAUGACCUUCGGGUCUGUCUCCAACCCGGACCAGUCUGUGUGCUGCCUUUACGGGAGAGGUCGACAUUCCCAAUCUGGCACCGGCUGAGGCCCGUUCCCUGCCUUUCCCAGACGGGAGGAAGGCCUCUCUGCUCUUCCCUCUUCUUGGCUCCCAACUGCUCCAUCCCUGUUGUGGAUUGAUUCGUGUCCCCCCAGAAGAUAUUCAUGCCCAAAGGCCCAGUACCUGUGAAGAUGACUGUAAUAGGGUCGUUGCAGAUACAAUCAAGAUAAGGUCCUACUGGAGUACCGUGGGUCCUAACUCCAAUGCCUGGUGUCCUCAUAGGAAGAGGACUUUUAAACAGAUACACAGGGAGACCCCCCCCCCCCCAAGUGAGACAGAGGCGGAGACUGGAGUGAUGUGUCCACAAGCCAAGAGAACACCGAGGGUGGCUGGCAACCACCAGAAGCCAGGAGAGAGACCUGGACCAGGACCUCCAGAAGGAGCCGACCCCGCUGACACCUUGAUCGUGGACUUACGGCCUCCAGCACUGUGAGAGGACACAUUUCUGUUGUUAAGCGGCUUCAGAUGUGUUGCGGCAGCCACAGGAAAUGAGGGUCCCCACCCCUAGUUACGUUCCCCCCAUCCCCCUGGUCCUCACCUGUGUGCAGACGGCUGAGUGACACCCUCCUCUCUCCCCAGCCCCCACCGCCUCCCAACUCCAGUCCUACAACACAACUUUGAUGGUUUCACUUCUGAAUCCUCAGCUGGCCCUAUGGCCUACGCGAGGCUUCACACUGGCCGUCCUAGCAUCAGCACCCCGACGUCGACGGUGCCCCCAGACUUUCUACGGAGGCCAGCUAAAUUUCACGCUGCCCCCAAACAAACACCCCCCUCACUCACUUCUACCUGCACGAGCCCUAGAAGAGAGAAUCUGGUGCUGGGGACGGUAAGGAAGCAGCACGUCAAGAAGGAAGGAGCCACUCCCUCGUCCCCCUUCCCCCAACUCCGGUCAUCCAGGGGCAUGUGGCACCCACAGGAGCCCAUCACGGACACCAGACUGAAGCCACACGCCUUGGGGAAGGGGGAUCGGGCAAGGCAGGGACAUUUACAGAGUGACAGACGCGCCAGUUCCACGAGCAUCCAAGCUGCGUCACUGCCACCUUAAAACCACACUGGCUCAGGGCUCGCUCGCGUGGGCUACAACGUUCAGCAAACCUUUCCUCAAAGGGCCAAAUACCAUUUUAGGCUUUUUGGGCCAAGGGGCAAAAUCAAAGACAGUUGUAGUAACCACUCAAAAACGGAAAACCCUGUUCUUCGCUGACGGGCUGUAACCAAGCAGGGGGCAGGCAGGGUUUGGUCUGAGGCUGCAGCGUGCUGACCACUUGGUGUGCUGACCACUCGGUGUGCUGACACGCGCGCGUGUGCGCACACACAGCACCAGUGCAGGCUGUCACCCUGAAAAGCUGGGCUCGAGGAGCUGUGUCUGGGCCGCAUUCUUGAAUGGCCUGCCUGCCUCCAGGGGUUAAGGAGGAAGGUUCAUGCCUACCAAGUUCCCACACCUCCACAGCCCUGACUACACAUCGCAAAGGUGAGUAUAAAGCGAAGCAAAGAGGACUUCUCCCGCACGGCCCCACCCUUCCCCAGGCCUCGCCUGGACAGAGAGAUGUCAUCAGGUAUUUUUUGCCUCCAGAUGGCCACUGCCCCCUCCUUGCUGGAAAGAUCCCUGUCCCCUGGAAGAAAUCUCCGGUUGGCAAGCUUCGCCAACAGGUGCAGUGGAAAUGUGAUGGGAAGGAUGAAUACAGUGAGCCCCUCGGGAAGAGAAAGCCCCCUCCCCCGCCGUGGGGCGGAUGCAGGAGACGGAAGGCCACGCACAGUCGGGGAGCUCCACGUGCUGGGACAGCCCCGAGGAUAAGGAUGUCUUGACGGGGAAGCAUGGGUUUUAGAACAUUAGCUGUAGCAGGGAAACUCGACAAACGCAGUUCCGUGGAACUGUGAAGCUCAGUUCCAGAAAACAAUCUCAGAGAACCCCUAUGGACUACCCAUCAAGAAAUGUUCGGCUCAUUUGAGCCAACACACUGUUGGUUCCGAAAGCAAACGCACCGCUGUUCGUGGCUCACAAUCUCCUAGGUGACAUUUUCGGGCCAGGCACACUUAGGAAUUCAGAAUUUGUCAGAUUUUAGAAAGAUAAUCCAGUGCCUGUCCUCUAUGACACCCCAGGCAGUGGGGUCUGGGGUUGUAGCCCAGAAUCAAACACAGCGACGCUGUAGUAUAAAACAGGACGCGCUCGCAAAACCGAUGAACAGCCUCCUGACCGGUCAGGUCAGGUUCUGCUGUCAGUGGGGUAUGAAGAGAACGUCACGGUUUUAGAGCUUUCUGGGCUUCGCAUUAUCUGAAAGGUUAGGGAUUACGGACCUGGACUGGAGGACGCUUAGGGAAUAAGGUUUGGAGAGUUCUAGAAGGUUCACGGUCGCAAUACGGGGAGAGCCCCCAUCCCCAAAGCCAGAUCUUCGGGACGCUCCGAGAGCCGGCUUCUUGCAGGUUCUUCCAUGAAAUACACCUACCCGCUGUGGCCCUGGCUGGCAGCAGCUUUCCAACCAUACCGCCUCCCCGCACCCGAUUCCGGGGGCUGCUCCAGGGCACAGCAAGAACGGCGCCUGCGCGGCCCAUCCGGACCUCUCGGCGCGGACACACGAAUAAAGGCACGCACAGUCCCCGCCCUGUGGCUAACUCCGCGAGAGGAGAGGGCACGGUCCAGAGAACAAAAGAAAACCAUCACUUGCACAGGCGGCCUGGGAACGGACAGACGCCAAGGCCGGUGCACCUGCCGGCCCACAGAGCGCGCAUGCUCAGAAGGCCGGUGCCCGUGGCCUGAGCCCCCGCCGCCUGCCCUACCUCCACGGCCACGCUGAAGUCCACCAUGGAGACGCUGGUGUUGCGGUGCCAGCACACGUGCACCAUGGUGUUGCCGCGGUGCGGGGCCUGGCGCUCCAACGAGGUGCGCGAGGCGCUGAGGUCGUCCUCCGACUCCUGGUCGCCCGCUGCCUCCUCCGGGGACUCUGCGGGGGCAGCAAGAGGCGGCGCUUUCCUCUCUGCUCGCCAGGAGGGCCCCUGUCCCAACCCCGCCCAGGAGCCGAAUGGGAUGGGAAGGCUGGGGGUCCCGGGCACCCACCGAGCAGGAAGUCACACUGGCAGCGAGGGCUUGGCCAGGGGCGUCCCACCAAUCCCUCUGCCAGGGAGCCUCUAACAGUUUUCUCCCCGCCCCUCGCCCCCCAGAGGCUGACAAGCGGCAGUGCUGGCCCAGAAAAGAUGGGAUUUCUCCACUCGCUCAUUCUCUUUUAAGGGGUUUUGUUUUUUUUAACUUUUAUAAAAAGUUCCUUGAUUUUUAGCUUAAAACACAAACGUAGACGGUGGCUAUGGGGCGCAUCGGUAAGGCAAUUUUCAGUGCAACACUUACUGCUGUCAGGAGGGCUGCUGGCCAGGAACUCGGGGGCGGGGCCGCUGCUUUUCUCGGCCAAGUCAAUGGCCAUCUGUAUGUCCUCCACCCACUUUUCCAUCUCGGACCGAGAACUGGAGGAGGACAGAUGGACGUCAGGUAUUUCCAGGCCACGGUGGGAAGAAGGGGUACCGAGGUCAAAGGUCAGGCUUCCCGCGUUACCUGGCAGCCACGACGAUGGACUGGCGCUGGCCCCGCAGGGUGAGGCAGUGGGGCACGCCCCACUCGUCCUCACUUUCCUCCAUCUGUGGGGCGAGUGUUCAUAAGUUACUGCCGAGCACGGGUUGGGAUACUCAGUGCAUUUUCAAACGUUCACCGAACUGACUAUAGCUCGGCGGAACCAAGUCCAAAAAAGUCCCCAUCGGGAGGGUGAAAGCAAGGUCAAAAUGCAUUAUCCUUUUUCGUCAGAGCCAUAAACCUCCCUCUACCCGCCCACUGAGGAGAGUGUGGGGAUAUGCCACAUUGGUGCACACUGGCGCCCUGUCUGCCUCUGUCCACCAAGGAUCACAGAAUAUAGACACCCGUCCACUGGACAUCUCAGGAGAAAGGCUGCUUCCUGGUCUUCACUCCACGUGGACGGUGAGGAUGGCCUCUCAGGGCCCCGGGGCCAGGCACCGGGCAGUGAAAGGCAAGUUCACACCACGUAGGCACAGCAGCUUGCCUCUGCGCUUGAUGCCGGAAGGAACAUAGCCGUGCAUCCCAGGUGCAGGACAGGGAGUGAGGUCCCGGGGCCCCUCUAGGGGAGCCCUAACAAGGCCCAGGUUUUUCACAGCGCCUGUGAUGCUCUCACUUCCUUAUCAAGCCCCUCCCCCGUCACUGGCUCCUGCACCCCGCGGGCAGCCCAGAGGCAGAGGUCCCCAUCCCGUGCCCACGGCGCAUACUCACGGUCAUGCCGUAGAGCGGGAGCUGCCCGUGAACUUUAAACUGAUUCGAGGCCGUCAGCCCCCUGCUCGUGUAGAGCAAGACGUCGUUGAACUAGAAGAACAAGGACAAGCGCGGCUGAGACGAAUGGGCUCCGUUUGAAACCAACAAGUACGGAAACUACGUUUUCAGAGUCCGACAGGACAAUUCGUGGAUCUCAACACCUCCAGUCUGAGCAGCUCUGGCUGCUCCUCCUGUCUCCCAGGUACCCCCUCUGGGGUGGCCGAGGCCCAGCGCCGUGACCCUUGCUGGUUCCACGGGCUCACAAGUCACCGAUCACCUUGAACAAACAGCUCUCACCACUUACCAGGAAGAACAUGCGCUGCUGGAGCCCCUUCCCGGAGAGCUUGCUGAGGCUGCCCAGGCGGAUGAAUUCCUGCAGAGAAAACACACCCACGAGCUGGUUCGGAGCCUGCAAAGCCGCAUCAGCGCAGACUCAACGCGAUGUGAGAUGCUUCCGCCCAUCGUGGUCCCUUUCACGCUAAAAACCGUACCCGGCAUAGCUCCUAUUUACUGAACGCCGUGCUGUGCCGCCUCUAAGCUCCUUUCCUUCUGAGCAACCUGCAAGGCAGGGGCUAGCUUUGGCUCCUCCACCAGAGAAGCAGCUGGCGGUCGGAGCUCCGCUGGCCCGUGCGGUGCACUGGUUCACACCCGGACCUAUAACUCUACACUGAACCCCCAGGCCCUCAGGGCUUCCGGCUGCGAGCAGGGGACAAGGCCCCUGGAUGGAUACAAAGUGGCAGCCGGGGACCAGGAAGACAGAUACGCCAUAGGAGAGAACUGUGCAUAGAGGAAUCUUCUCCACGACUUAAAAUCUGGUUCUCAAAAACUAGUAACUGUUCUAGGAUGAAAGAGCCAGAAAGGAACUCUCCCUCCCGACUAUAAACUUCUGAGGGCACAGACGAUUCAGGGGCACUUCAGAAACCCUCCACAAAACUAUCAUUUACAAAACUGGUAAAAUACACAUAAAACUUACCCUGCAUGACCUUUAGUGCAUCCAUCAAUACCAUCUAGGUCCAGAACUUUCCACCACCCAAACCAUUAAGCAGUCAGUCCCCAUUUCUCACUCCCCGUUUCCGCCUCCCCAGCACCUGGCAACCACCAAUCUGUUUUCUGUCUCUAUGGAUUUGUCUAUUUCAUAUAAGUCCAACAGUAAUAUGUAGCUUUUUGUGUCUGGCCUAUUUCACUUAGCACAAUGUUUUCAAGGUUCGUCCAUGCUGUGGCACGUGUCAGAAAUUCGUUCCUCUCUGGGGCUGAAUAUUCCACUGCAGGGAUGGGGCACACUUUGUUUACCCACUUAGGCUGUUGAUGGGUAUUUGAGUUGCUUCCCCUUCUGGCUACUCUGAACAGUGCUGCUGUGGACAUGCAUGUUCAAGUUUUUGUUUGAACACCUAUUUUCAGUUCUUCUGGGUAUAGAGCCAGGAGUGGAAUUGCUGGGUCAUGAGGAAAUUCUAUGGUUCACUUAUUAAGGAACCGCCAAACUAUGUGUCCACAGAGCUGCUUUUAAAACACAGCUGCAAGUUCGUUGACAUUCUUCCCACAGAGGCUGGUCUCUGUCCCCUUCCCUUAGAUGUGGGUAGACUGGUGACCAAUUUGACAAAUAGAGUAUGGAAGUGAUGCUGUGUGACCUCUGAGACCAGGUCAUAAAACUACACAUAGCCUCUGCUUUGUCCCUGGGAACACUUGCUCUGGGAACCCUAAACUGCACAUUAAGCAGUGAGACCACCCUGAACCCACGCUGGGGAGGCCCCUCGUGGGCUCUCAGGUGCACGGUCCCAGCUGAGCCCAGCCUCCAGCCGUCUGCCAAGUGUAAGUCUUGGCCCCUCCAGGUCAGCCCAUCUGGGACCUCUGUCAAUGCCCUAGAGAAAGAAGAAUCACCUAGCUGAGUCCUGCCCCCUUCCCAACUCACAAAACCGUGACAAAUACUAAAAGGUUGUCUUCAGUCACUAAGUAUUGGGGCCGUUUGUUACCUAGUUUUCCUGUGACCUCAGUAGCCAACGAGCCAAGAACAGGGACUCAACCAGUUCAUUUGCAUUCUAUAGACUGCACAGCCUGACUCUUGCUUUGGUCCUUUAUGAAAUGUCAAUCGAAGACAACAUCUGCUGGUGAUUUAACUGACAUAUUUUGGAGAUCAACGAAGUGACACAUAACAAAUACUUGCUGGUCCAUGGGAUGGAUGCUAUCAGACAGCAACGGUACCGUAUGAAGAAACGGUGUUUGGGGAAUGCUCUCAUCACUGAAGGGGAUCAGAGAAUGAGGAGUGGUGACCCCACUGUGCUGUCUACUCCUGUUCCCGGCUCGCAUAUCCGAUGUUGUUAUAUGUGCGUUUUCUUAACGAAUCUUAGGGAUGUGGGAAGGGGAAGAUGGAGCUUCUGCAGAAGGGCUAUGGACUCAGAUCACCGUCUCAGGGCUGGAGAUGGAAAAUGCCUCUUGCCCAGAACUGUUUUUUAAUUUUUAAAGAAAACCAUGGAAUAGGAGAAAAAGAAAAGGCUCCUAAUAUCCUUAAGCUCAAGCUGCUUCCUACUGGAAUGAAAUCCACAAUAUCCAGGCCUCUGAGUUUUAUCCAAAUGAACCUCCACUAUCCUCCUGGAAGAACUCUCAGGCACAGAACUCUUAGGGGCAGAAAACACACCCUGGGGGCCUGGCUCAGGCCAGAGUGUGCUGGGGGGUGGGGGCGGGGGUUGCGGGGUGGGAAUCCUGCCUUCCAGGACAUGACCUCAUCUCAGCCUGACCCUAGCGGGAGGGCAGCAGGAUUAUGCCCGAAAGCUGGGUGAGGAAUUAGACCGCAGGGAGCUGGAACAUUAGCCGCUCACCUUUAAAUCUCAAUUUUUCAAAUUCCACCAGUAGAUAAAUCUGUCAGAGCCUUCUUUCCACUCAACAGGUUAUUCGAUAAUUUAAAAUUAAAAAGAAAACAA